UAAAUCGACCAAUGGGAGAGAGUCUUUUUGCCACGUCGGAUGCAUCACUCAAAAUCAGUUGGGCUUUAUUUCGUUUGGCCCAUAUUAGGUUUAUCAGGUCACGUAGAUGAAACGCUGCGUAAUAGAUUUCGCGACUCCAGACCUGGUGGCGACUUUGUCUGCGCGCUGACCUUCCAUCUUCUUCCCCUGGCAAAUCCUGUAACCGAUUCAUCACCUUAAAGUCCUCAAUUAAUCGAGCAGGCACGAUCUAGAUUCAAUGCGACCUUUAAGGUUUCAGAGACGGUAGAGUUCGACUAUAAAUAGGCUGGACACUCCUCUUCCACCGUCAAGUUCGCUUACUCCGCUUUUGUGAGGCCUGAAACGUCCGACCUGGUGGAGAGCUCAUGGGCAUCGACAUGCUUUUAAUCGUCUCUCAGUCGACCAUGAUGCCGGUGACUGUGAAUGUCAACCGCCUUGCGACGCACCAGCCUAACCUUGAAGCGGGAUCGGUCUACUCUUUAGCUCCACGAACUCCAGUUACCUGCAGCGCGAAACAGAGAGGGUUUGUCCUCAAGAAGAUAGAAUCAUUGAUGGUGUCAUAACUGAGUUCUUAUGUGCUCAACUUCCACCGCAGGACUACUAUCAAGCUUUCAGAUUGAACCCACUUAAUCCAUUUUCAGGGCAUAAGAUAUGAUGUCAUUGGGAGACUUAAAUCCUACAAGCAUGUUUGGAGCAGUGGUUUCAGAUAUGGAUUAAGGGUAUUCAGGAAGGAGAAGAAAACUUGAGUUAUAUUUAGUUAUGUAGAGCAUCAUGUUUCACAGUGCCUUGAACAAGACAUGAACCAAGAUCGCUUGGUCUCAUGGAGCCAACAUAGCGAAACUGAUAAAGAGGAAAGAAGGCUGAUCAUCAGCAGGACACAAGGAUCGAUGACAAUAUGGCGACGCUGGUGACUUCCACCCUACAGGUAAAAGCGUUGUGAAGUGCUUUCCAGACAAACAAUUUAACUUUUGGUGCUGCUUUGAUGUUCCAGACGUCCUUAUACCAGUUGGUUUGAUGAUUCUGAGAAGUUAGGGACUCUUGAUCUUUGCAUUCCAGCGCAGAAAGAUACCCAGAUUUAGUGCUAUAAUCUCCUGAUGGAAUCUUAAGCCACACCCGUCUGUCCGGAGCCCCGACCAAGCUUGGUUUGAUGAGUCUGAUACUCUGUUACUCUGUUGGCAAUACUCUUCAAUCGAAGCAAACUCAACAUAGGCAAAUUCACAGAAACUGCCAUGGCGUCCUAUAGCCAUUGUAACAUUAACAACUUGGCCAGCUUAUUUGAAGAAGCUCCUCGCUGGAGGAAAACAAUAGUAAAAUCAAUGGAAAACUUUCAAAAAAAUAACCAAAGGUGUGUGUGUGUGUGUGUUUUUUUUUUAUAACCAAAGGUGUGUUAUAGUUGCAUAUCUAAUCUUUAACAAUUGGUAUACGAGAUUUCAACGUUUCAAAAGAAAGAGUUCCAACGUACUAAGUGUGGUUCCAAU